UACGAAGGGGGCUAGCGUUGUUCGGAAUUACUGGGCGUAAAGCGCACGUAGGCGGACUAUUAAGUCAGGGGUGAAAUCCCGGGGCUCAACCCCGGAACUGCCUUUGAUACUGGUAGUUUCGAGUCCGGAAGAGGUGAGUGGAAUUCCGAGUGUAGAGGUGAAAUUCGUAGAUAUUCGGAGGAACACCAGUGGCGAAGGCGGCUCACUGGUCCGGUACUGACGCUGAGGUGCGAAAGCGUGGGGAGCAAACAGG
rnacentral:rRNA from 1 species